rnacentral:rRNA from 1 species
GACGAACGCUGGCGGCGUGCUUAACACAUGCAAGUCGAACGGAAAGGCCCUGCUUUUGUGGGGUGCUCGAGUGGCGAACGGGUGAGUAACACGUGAGUAACCUGCCCUUGACUUUGGGAUAACUUCAGGAAACUGGGGCUAAUACCGGAUAGGAGCUCCUGCUGCAUGGUGGGGGUUGGAAAGUUUCGGCGGUUGGGGAUGGACUCGCGGCUUAUCAGCUUGUUGGUGGGGUAGUGGCUUACCAAGGCUUUGACGGGUAGCCGGCCUGAGAGGGUGACCGGCGGGAGGGGGGCAGGGAAGUCGGCAAGCCGCGGAGGGGGGGGGGGGGGGGGGUAGGUGGCACGGGGGGCGGGGUCCGGGUCCAGCGAGGCCGCGUGCGGUACGGCUGCCUGGGGUGUGGAUACCGGUUCUGUGGGGGGUGAUGCGGGAGGGAGGGGAAGGGGAAACGAGGCACCGGGGAACGACGUGCCAGCGCCCGGGGUAAGAUGAGGAGGAACACACGUAUGAAC